rnacentral:rRNA from 1 species
AAGCGGCAAAAGCUCAAAUUUGAAAUCCUGCGGGAAUUGUAAUUUGAAGGUUUCGUGGUCUGAGUCGGCCGCGCCCAAGUCCAUUGGAACAUGGCGCCUGGGAGGGUGAGAGCCCCGUAUGGCGCACGCCGACUCUUUGUACACCGCGGCUCCGACGAGUCGAGUUGUUUGGGAAUGCAGCUCUAAGUGGGUGGUAAAUUCCAUCUAAAGCUAAAUAUUGGCGAGAGACCGAUAGCGAACAAGUACAGUGAUGGAAAGAUGAAAAGCACUUUGAAAAGAGAGUGAAACAGCACGUGAAAUUGUUGAAAGGGAAGGGCUUGCAAGCAGACACGGUUUUACCGGGCCAGCGUCGAAAAGGGGGGAGGAACAAGAACUCGAGAAUGUGGCGCGCACCUUCGGGCGCGCGUGUUAUAGCUCGUGUUGACGCCUCCAUCCCUUUUCGAGGCCUGCGAUUCUAGGACGCUGGCGUAAUGGUUGCAAGC